UUAAAAUGAAGUUUGACUGGGCUAAG
rnacentral:piRNA from 1 species